GGCAGCACAAUGGUUAAAGUUUUUGGCUGCUAACCAAAAGGUCGGUGGUUCGAACCCACUAGCCG
rnacentral:tRNA from 1 species